rnacentral:rRNA from 1 species
UGAGCGGAGAUAUAUGGAGCUUGCUUUAUAUAACUUAGCAGCGAACGGGUGAGUAACACGUAGAUAAUCUAUCCUAUACUGGGGGAUAGCCCGAUGAAAGUUGGAUUAAUACCGCAUAUAGCUAUAUAGUUGCAUGAUUAUGUAGUGAAAGAUUUAUUGGUAUAGGAGGAGUCUGCGGCACAUUAGCUAGUAGGUGAGGUAAAGGCUUACCUAGGCGACGAUGUGUAGCCGGUCUGAGAGGAUGAACGGCCACAAUGGAACUGAGACACGGUCCAUACUCCUACGGGAGGCAGCAGUGGGGAAUAUUGCACAAUGGGGGAAACCCUGAUGCAGCAACGCCGCGUGAGUGAAGAAGGUUUUCGGAUUGUAAAGCUCUGUUAGCAGGGAAGAGGAAGGACGGUACCUGCAGAGGAAGCCACGGCUAACUACGUGCCAGCAGCCGCGGUAAUACGUAGGUGGCAAGCGUUGUUCGGAAUAACUGGGCGUAAAGGAUGCGUAGGCGGUUAAACAAGUUAUAUGUUAAAUAUAUAGGCUUAACCUGUAGAAAGCAUAUAAAACUGUUUAACUAGAGUGCAGGAGAGGUAAGUGGAAUUCCUAGUGUAGCGGUGAAAUGCGUAGAGAUUAGGAAGAACACCAGUGGCGAAGGCGACUUACUGGACUGUAACUGACGCUGAGGCAUGAGAGCAUGGGGAGCAAACAGGAUUAGAUACCCUGGUAGUCCAUGCUGNUAACGAUGGGUACUAGGUNUGGGUUGUGAAUAACAAUUCGUGCCGUCGCAAACGCAAUAAGUACCCCGCC